GACGAACGCUGGCGGCGUGCCUAACACAUGCAAGUCGAGCGAACAAACGUUAACAGGCCCCUUCGGGGCGGCGAUAAAGGGGAGUGGCGGCCGACGGGAACGUAACACGUGAGUAACGUGCCUUAGACAUUGGGGUAGUCACGGGAAACCAGGAUUAAUACCAACUAAAAUCAUAAUGACACAUGUCAUAACGGCCAAAACUUCGGUAGUCUACGAUGGACUAUCGUCCCAUUGGAUAGUUGGUAGAGUAAAAGCCUACCAAGGCGACGAUGGGUAGCCGGGCUGAGAGGGUGACCCACCACACUGGAACUGAGAAACGGUCCAAACUCCUACGGGAGGCAGCAGUGGGGAAUAUGGCACAAUGGAGGGGAGUCGGAGGCCGCGACGCCGCGUGAACGAAGUAGUCUUUAGGGACGUAAAGUUCUCUUAUAUGGGAAGAUAAUGACGGUACCAUAAGAAAAAGCCCCGGCUAACUACGUG
rnacentral:rRNA from 1 species